GAGUUUGAUCCUGGCUCAGGAUGAACGCUGGCGGCGCGCCUAACACAUGCAAGUCGAACGGCACCUAUCUUCGGAUAGAAGCGAGUGGCGAACGGCUGAGUAACACGUGGAGAACCUGCCCCCUCCCCCGGGAUAGCCGCCCGAAAGGACGGGUAAUACCGGAUACCCCCGGGCGCCGCAUGGCGCCCGGGCUAAAGCCCCGACGGGAGGGGAUGGCUCCGCGGCCCAUCAGGUAGACGGCGGGGUGACGGCCCACCGUGCCGACAACGGGUAGCCGGGUUGAGAGACCGACCGGCCAGAUUGGGACUGAGACACGGCCCAGACUCCUACGGGAGGCAGCAGUGGGGAAUCUUGCGCAAUGGGGGGAACCCUGACGCAGCGACGCCGCGUGCGGGACGGAGGCCUUCGGGUCGUAAACCGCUUUCAGCAGGGAAGAGUCAAGACUGUACCUGCAGAAGAAGCCCCGGCUAACUACGUGCCAGCCGCCGCGGUAAUAC
rnacentral:rRNA from 1 species